rnacentral:rRNA from 1 species
UACGUAGGUGGCGAGCGUUUGUCCGGAUUUAUUGGGUUUAAAGGGUGCGUAGGCGGCCCUAUAAGUCAGUGGUGAAAUAUCGCAGCUUAACUGUGAGGGUGCCAUUGAUACUGUAGGGCUUGAGUGAAUUUGAGGUAGGCGGAAUUGACGGUGUAGCGGUGAAAUGCUUAGAUAUCGUCAAGAACACCGAUAGUGAAGACAGCUUACCAAGCUUCAACUGACGCUGAGGCACGAAAGUGUGGGGAUCAAACAGG